UACGAAGGGGGCUAGCGUUGUUCGGAUUUACUGGGCGUAAAGGGCGCGUAGGCGGCCAGCACAAGUCAGUUGUGAAAUCUCCGAGCUUAACUCGGAAAGGUCAACUGAUACUGUGCGGCUAGAGUGCGGAAGGGGCAACUGGAAUUCCUGGUGUAGCGGUGAAAUGCGCAGAUAUCAGGAGGAACACCGGUGGCGAAGGCGGGUCUCUGGGCCGAUACUGACGCUGAGGAGCGAAAGCGUGGGGAGCGAACAGG
rnacentral:rRNA from 1 species